rnacentral:rRNA from 1 species
UAGGGAAUCUUCGGCAAUGGACGAAAGUCUGACCGAGCAACGCCGCGUGAGUGAAGAAGGUUUUCGGAUCGUAAAACUCUGUUGUUAGAGAAGAACAAGGACGUUAGUAACUGAACGUCCCCUGACGGUAUCUAACCAGAAAGCCACGGCUAACUACGUGCCAGCAGCCGCGGUAAUACGUAGGUGGCAAGCGUUGUCCGGAUGUAUUGGGCGUAAAGCGAGCGCAGGCGGUUUCUUAAGUCUGAUGUGAAAGCCCCCGGCUCAACCGGGGAUGGUCAUUGGAAACUGUGAGACUUGAGUGCAGAAGAGGAGAGUGGAAUUCCAUGUGUAGCGGUGAAAUGCGUAGAUAUAUGGAGGAACACCAGUGGCGAAGGCGGCUCUCUGGUCUGUAACUGACGCUGAGGCUCGAAAGCGUGGGGAGCAAACAGG